UCCCCAGUCUCACAGCUCUGCUCAGAGGGUCGGGUGAGGGGGUGGCACAGACAACGUGUCCAGGACUCUCUGCCCGACAGGACCGGGGCCAAGGGGACCCAAAGUCCACAGUUGUCAGACUGGAGCCUGGGCAUCAAUCGCUAGUAGGACAUCUGCUAUGAAAGGGGAACUAAAGAAUGGACGGAAGGGUCGGAUGGGUUGGCUGGCCAGAGAAGAGAGAAAAACAGAAGAAGCUGCCAUCCCAGCUAGCAUCAAUCAUCAAACGUGAAGGCCGGACCCCAGAGAGACGUGGCAUUGUGGCCCACCCCUCCUCCCUGUGUCAUCAAUGGCCAUCCGGCAUACAUGGUGAUACGCCUCCUGGGUGUUCGACCACGGGGCAGGGGUUUCCAGUACCUGGUUGACUGGGAGGGUUACUGCCCAGAGGAGUGGUGCUGGGUUCCUGAUAGGGAAAUAUUGGAUCCAGCACUCAUCGCCGACUUCCACUGCCGACAGUGGAGUUUGGAGUGUGACUGUUUGAGGUUGUGGACAGGUGUCUUUUAUACUGAUAACAAGUUCAAACAGGUG